GUACUCACUUAUACUUUUCCUAUUUUGUCCUUGCUCGGAUCCAUGUAGCCAACCCCAUUAAGUUGGGAUAUGGCUGAGUUUGUUGUUGUUGUUGUAGUAGUUUCAACAAUUUACUGGCACAGUUCUAAAUCUCGAAAAUUUCGCAAGAUUCAAUGGUUUCGACCCAACCCAAGAUAAGCAAGUUUCAGAAAUUUCGACCCUAUUUCGGUAAAUUUCAGAACAGCCUAGAAAAAUACCUGGUUUCAACCAGUGGUUUAAAAAAUUUCGACCUAAAGGUAGAAACCCGAGAUUUAGAACCAUAGUUACUGAUCAACUUUAGCUCCUAAAUGGCAGUGUGCUUAACCCCAGCUGAAGAAACACUCACAUGGCCUGGAACCCUAGUCCAAUAAAUUCAACUAUUUGUAGGAUUUUCUUGAAGAGAAAAAGAAAAAUAAAAAGAAUAAGAGAGUAAUAGAUCACAAAACCUAAGCUAAGAUUGCUUCACUAAAAAUAGAUCUUUCAUUCAGCCACCCAAACCCACAACUCCAGUAGGAAGGAAUUUACAUUGAGAGUUCAAUCACUACAAACAGACAAUGAAAAGUAGUAGAACUGUAGAAGUACAUGUAAGAAAAAUAUCACCAUAAUAUUUUAGCAUCAGGCAUGGUAAGUUUUAGCGCUAGUACUCGGACUUUCCAGUGAGGUGAUACUAAACUUAUAUUGCACAAUGUGAUACUGGUGUGGUGAAAUAAAUGGGUUAAAAGAGGUUGAAAUAAAUUGAAUUGCCCAAAAAUAGCUGCCAUUAUAACUCAAUUAAAACAUGUUCAUGAAGUAUUUGCCACGUAGCUUGCAAGCAUUCUAUAUUUAGUGAAUGCAACUGUCCUAAUUAAUACUCCAUUUAUUAUCUUUAUUUCCACGAGAUUCUUGAUUGAUGAUCACACAGCAGGGAGAAGAGAUAAGAGAAAAUACAACGAGAUUUUGAACCAUAUCGUCUCGUAUCUCAGUGAAGCUGAUAACCCUACAAGCUCCUCCUCUUCAUGGGCAAUUUGAGAAGUAACCCAUGCAAUGAUGCAAUCAUUAUUCAUUUCAACCCAAAAACCAAAACCACAAAGAGAAAGAUAGAAGAGAGAACAUUGAAGGGAGAAGUGAGAACAGGUUGGGUUAUCUUUUAUUCUUUUUUCUCAGUACUGAUCUAUAUCAACUUUAGUUUCAGGAUUUCCUUAAAGGAGUUGGAUACUACUAGAUUUGAUUCUUCUUGCAAACCAAGUACAAGCACAGCAUCACACACAUAUCACACACACCGACUAAUCCAGCAAUGAAUGAAGUCACCCAGUUGCCUGCACUUGUAACUUCAAUAUUUACUACUUGCCUUUUUUAUGCAAUUAAUAAAUUUCUCGGCCUCAAUUUACGCUCAUCUUUGACCGAUAUUCAAUUCUAUUCAAAUCUUUCUCCUUACUUUAAAUCUCUCAAUUUCUCCCUAUAGUCUCCAACCCUCCCUAAUAAUUAAUUAAGAUUUAAAGAAAACCCAUCUCUCUCUCUCUCUUCCAUUCCUCCCUUAUAUAAAUGGCCUUAAGAGGUCUAACAACAACAACUUGACCAUUCUUGUGUUGGUGCAAAAGUGGUGGAGACAUUGGAAACCACUCACCUUUAAGAUAAGUUUGCAGAGACAAGCAUGAGUCAAAACGGAAAGAGUCCAAAGCUGGAUUUGAAGCUGAACCUUUCACCACCAAGGGUGAACCCAAGAGUGGAAUCACCGAACCAAUCAGGAUCUAUGUCGCCACAGAGUUCAUGUGUGUCUUCAGAGCUGACUCAGCUGAGCCAAAUUGAUCAGACCAUUGAGUUCUCCAACAGCCCAGAUGCAACACCCAUGAUGUUGCUGGCUUGUCUUGGUUGCCACAUGUAUGUGAUGACCCCGGAGAAGGACCCCAAAUGCCCCAAGUGCAAGGGUACUGUUUUAUUUGAUUUCCUCAAUGACCCCAAUAUCACCAACAAGAAGCCUAGGAAGAACUAGGAUGAUGAUGCUGAUGCUGAUGCUGCUGUUGAUGGUUUUUCUCUCUUUAGAUACUUAGGACCCCCCAUCCCAACCCCUCUAUGGUCAUAGUUUUUGUUUUUGUCCGCUCCCAUUUUGUAUCUCUUCUUACAAUAAUAGAACGGCAGCAAUAACGAUAUAUAGAUAGCAGUUCUGUUUUCAGUUCAGUUGGGCUUCCUUCUUUUAAGCAGAUGACAAUGUAAACAGGUUACCUGCA